rnacentral:rRNA from 1 species
GUAUACAGUCAUGCCACCCUGAACAUGCCCAAUCCCGUCUGAUCUUGGAAGCUAAGUAGGGUUGGGCCUGGUAAGUACUUGGAUAGGAGACCACCUUGGAAUACUAGGUGCUGUAGGUG